rnacentral:rRNA from 1 species
CGAGAGUGGCGAACGGGUGAGUAAUAUAUCGGAACGUGCCCAGUCGUGGGGGAUAACGUAGAGAAAUUUACGCUAAUACCGCAUGAGAUCUACGGAUGAAAGCGGGGGACUUCGCAAGAGGCCUCGCGCGACUGGAGCGGCUGAUAUCAGAUUAGGUUGUUGGUGAGGUAAAAGCUCACCAAGCCGACGAUCUGUAGCUGGUUUGAGAGAACGACCAGCCACACUGGGACUGAGACACGGCCCAGACUCCUACGGGAGGCAGCAGUGGGGAAUUUUGGACAAUGGGCGAAAGCCUGAUCCAGCAAUGCCGCGUGCAGGAAGAAGGCCUUCGGGUUGUAAACUGCUUUUGUACGGAACGAAAAGGCUCGCUUUAAUACAGCGGGCCCAUGACGGUACCGUAAGAAUAAGCACCGGCUAACUACGUGCCAGCAGCCGCGGUAAUACGUAGGGUGCGAGCGUUAAUCGGAAUUACUGGGCGUAAAGCGUGCGCAGGCGGUGAUGUAAGACAGUUGUGAAAUCCCCGGGCUCAACCUGGGAAUUGCAUCUGUGA